GAUCUAUGUUCGGAAUGGUUUUACUUGAAUAAUGGUACCCGUCAGGGUUGUCCCCUAUCACCAAUUUUAUACAUACUAACUAUGGGUUCAUUCGCCAUAAAAAUAAGAACCAAUACAUUUAUCAAAGGUGUUCCAACUAGUCCAGAUGAUUUUAAAUUAUGUUUGUAUGCGGAUCACACUCUAAUUACCCUGAUAGUCUCCAUAAUCUCUGUUAAAUAUUUGAUGAAGGAAAUAGACUAUUUUAGCAAGAUUUCAAAUUAUAAAAUCAAUAUUGAAAAGAUGACGGCCCUCUUUGUAAAUAUAGACCUAAGGACUAUACAAAACAUUCUAAAUACUUUUAAUUUCACUGAUAUAAAGGAAGCCUUCAGUAAUCCAGGAGUUAUGUUAGAUAAAAAA